GAAAUGCGAUAAGUAAUGCGAAUUGCAGAAUUCAGUGAAUCAUCAAAUCUUUGAACGCAAAUUGCACUCUCGGGUGUUCCUGGGAGUACGCUUCUUUCAGUAUCGGUUCUAUCUAAACUCGACUGCGUUUUGUUCACACAAGGCGUUCUGUCGGAUAUUGAGUGUCACAGUUUCCUUUCCGAAGACUGUGUUACUUGAAAGAUAGAGAGGCUCAUCUCACACUAUCGGUCUUCACUCUAUGGUUCUACUUCGUUUCUCUUCCUUAACUGGGAGGGGACUGGAGCAAUCUAAGUGACGUGGUUAAGCUCGCCUUCGUGCGACUCCCCAUCGUCAAUUAUCUUAGUGCGCAUCAGUUUUGGCGUCGAAGAGCUUGUGUUGAUUGGUGAGUUUUUGAUACUGA
rnacentral:misc_RNA from 1 species